rnacentral:tRNA from 1 species
UCCCCGGUGGUCCAGUGGCUAAGACUCCACACUCUCAAUGCAGGGGGUCCAGGUUUGAUCCCUGGUCAGGGAA